AGAGAAGAAUGCAGCAUGCACAAUCAACUCAACAGAAGGAGUCUGAGUUGAGGAACUCGAGAAGAUGCCACAUUUUCUUGAAGAACAUAUAAGGCAAGUAAAAAUGAUACCCUGCAGCAUGUGGAGACAACGUGCAAAAUAAAUAAGCAGAGAAGAAUGCAACAUGCACAGUCAACUCAGCAGAAGGAGUCUGAGCUGAGGAACUCGAGAAAAUGCCACAUUCUGCCAGAAUAAUAGAUAAGGCAAGGGAAAAUGAUACAUUGAAGCAUGUGGAGACAUGCA
rnacentral:lncRNA from 1 species